UACGGGGGGAGCAAGCGUUGUUCGGAAUUACUGGGCGUAAAGGGCGCGUAGGCGGUUCGCUAAGUUGGAUGUGAAAACUCUGGGCUCAACCCAGAGCCUGCAUCCAAAACUGGCGGGCUAGAGUUCUGGAGGGGGUAGCGGGAAUUCCUGGUGUGAGCGGUGAAAUGCGUAGAUAUCAGGAGGAACACCGGUGGCGAAGGCGGCUACCUGGACAGAAACUGACGCUGAGGCGCGAAAGCCAGGGGAGCGAACGGG
rnacentral:rRNA from 1 species